UUCUGGUUGAUCCUGCCAGAGGUUACUGCUAUCGAGGUUCGACUAAGCCAUGCGAGUCGAAUGUAGCAAUACAUGGCGUACUGCUCAGUAACACGUGGAUAACCUGCCCUUAGGACGGGGAUAACCCGGGAAACUGGGUAUAAUACCCGAUAGAUCUCGAUUGCUGGAAUGCAUCGAGAUCUAAAGCUCCGGCGCCUAAGGAUGGAUCUGCGGCCUAUCAGGUAGUAGUGGGUGUAGCGUACCUACUAGCCUACGACGGGUACGGGUUGUGAGAGCAAGAGCCCGGAGAUGGAUUCUGAGACACGAAUCCAGGCCCUACGGGGUGCAGCAGGCGCGAAAACUUUACAAUGCUGGCAACAGCGAUAAGGGGACCUCGAGUGCCAGGUUACAAAUCUGGCUGUCGUGAUGCCUAAAAAGCAUUGCAUAGCAAGGGCCGGGCAAGACCGGUGCCAGCCGCCGCGGUAACACCGGCGGCUCGAGUGGUAACCGUUAUUAUUGGGUCUAAAGGGUCUGUAGCCGGCCGGAUAAGUCUCUUGGGAAAUCUGGCAGCUUAACUGUCAGGCUUUCAGGAGAUACUGUCUGGCUCGAGGCCGGGAGAGGUGAGAGGUACUUCAGGGGUAGGGGUGAAAUCUUGUAAUCCUUGAAGGACCACCAGUGGCGAAGGCGUCUCACCAGAACGGACCUGACGGCAAGGGACGAAAGCUAGGGGCACGAACCGGAUUAGAUACCCGGGUAGUCCUAGCCGUAAACGAUACUCGCUAGGUGUCGGCCACGGUGCGACCGUUGUCGGUGCCGUAGGGAAGCCGUGAAGCGAGCCACCUGGGAAGUACGGCCGCAAGGCUGAAACUUAAAGGAAUUGGCGGGA
rnacentral:rRNA from 1 species